GGGGCUGUAACGGUUUCGACAGGUUAGCGAACGCUACUACGUGAUGCAGGUCGAGAGGGAGUCCACUCUCGUAAAUCUAGGCUCAAAACACAGUACAUGCGAACAACAUCGUACCUUUUGCUCGUAAAGCAGCAGCAGUUGCCUAACAAAAACCUCUCAUAGGUUCGAGCGUCUACAGUGUGACACCGUUAAGUAUUGUAGACAAACCCCAACGGUUGCUCUAGACGAUCGUCUCUAGUCGGUUUUCUAGCUAAGACAAUACUAGAGAAUCCCACUGUUCGGGAUAAUGAACAGUUCCCGCUUGAGGAUCAGAAAAGCUAAACCUGUGAGCGAUCGGAGUACUAAUACCUAAUUUGGACACGGGUUCGACUCCCGUCAGCUCCAUUC
rnacentral:tmRNA from 1 species